CACGUAGGCACCAAGCGUUGUCCGGAUUUAUUGGGCGUAAGAGCUCGUAGGCGGUUCAGUAAGUCGGGUGUGAAAACUCUGGGCUUAACCCAGAGCCGCCACUCGAUACUGCUGUGACUUGAGUUCGGUAGGGGAGCAGGGAAUUCCUAGUGUAGCGGUGAAAUGCGCAGAUAUUAGGAGGAACACCGGUGGCGAAGGCGCUGCUCUGGGCCGAUACUGACGCUGAGGCGCGAAAGCGUGGGGAGCAAACAGG
rnacentral:rRNA from 1 species